GCCGCGAUCGCAUAACCUGGUAUUGCGCAGAAACUUUUGGGAAAAGUUUCAUCAAAAAGUUACGUAGGAUUGCUAAUCCUGUUUCCUUCGGGAUAUCUGGGUUCAAAUCCCAGUCGCGGCG
rnacentral:tRNA from 1 species